UAGCUCAGUUGGUAGAGCAUGGUGUUUGCAAUGCCAGGGUUGUGGGUUCGAUUCCCAC
rfam:Salmo salar isolate Sally breed double haploid chromosome ssa09, whole genome shotgun sequence.